rnacentral:rRNA from 1 species
CGGGUGAGUAAUGUAUGGGGAUCUGCCUGAUGGCGGGGGAUAACUACUGGAAGCGGUAGCUAAUACCGCAUAAUGUCUGCGGACCAAAGCGGGGGACCCCCGGGCCUCGCGCCAUCAGAUGAACCCAUAUGGGAUUAGCUAGUAGGUAAGGUAACGGCUUACCUAGGCGACGAUCCCUAGCUGGUCUGAGAGGAUGAUCAGCCACACUGGGACUGAGACACGGCCCAG